AAUCAAGUGACUUAAGGGCAUUUAGUGGAUGCCUUGGGAUGCACAGGCGAUGAAGGACGUGAUACGCUGCGAAAAGCGUCGGGGAGCUGCGAAUAAGCUUUGAUCCGAUGAUAUCCGAAUGGGGAAACCUACCUUAGAUGUCUAGAAAAUUUAAGGUGUUCUUUUUGAACAUCUUAUCUUUCUAGAUAUCGCAAAAAGGUAUCUGCACCUGAAUAAAAUAGGGUGUAUGAAGCGAACGUGGGGAACUGAAACAUCUAAGUACCCAUAGGAAAGGACAUCAACCGAGACUCCGUUAGUAGCGGCGAGCGAACGCGGACCAGCCCGUAUCUGUUAUAAAACCAAAAGCGUCUGGAAAGUCGCGCCAUAGAGGGUGAUAGCCCCGUAUGGGUAGAAAAGCAGAUCGUUAGAGUAAGGCGGAACACGUGAAAUUCUGUCUGAACAUGGGGGGACCACCCUCCAAGGCUAAGUACUCUCUACCGACCGAUAGCGAACAAGUACCGUGAGGGAAAGGUGAAAAGCACCCCGACAAGGGGAGUGAAAUAGUGCCUGAAACCGGAUGCAUACAAACAGUCGGAGCCCGCAAGGGUGACGGCGUACCUUUUGUAUAAUGGGUCAGCGAGUUAGUUUAUCGUGCAAGCUUAAGCCGUUAGGUGUAGGCGCAGCGAAAGCGAGUCUGAACAGGGCGUUCAGUACGAUGAAUUAGACCCGAAACGAAGUGAUCUAGGUAUGGCCAGGUUGAAGGUGCGGUAACACGCACUGGAGGACCGAACCCACGUCUGUUGAAAAAGACGGGGAUGAGCUGUGCCUAGGGGUGAAAGGCCAAUCAAACUUCGAAAUAGCUGGUUCUCCGCGAAAUCUAUUUAGGUAGAGCGUUGGACGAAUACCUCAGGGGGUAGAGCACUGGAUGGGCUAUGGGGACUCACCGUCUUACUGAUCC
rnacentral:rRNA from 1 species